CCUGACGCAGCGACGCCGCGUGGAGGAUGACGCAUUUCGGUGUGUAAACUCCUUUUAUCAAGGAAGAAAAUGACGGUACUUGAUGAAUAAGCACCGGCUAACUCCGUGCCAGCAGCCGCGGUAAUACGGAGGGUGCAAGCGUUAUUCGGAAUCACUGGGCGUAAAGGACGCGUAGGCGGGAUGCCAAGUCUGAUGUGAAAUCCUAUGGCUUAACCAUAGAACUGCAUUGGAAACUGGUGACCUAGAGUAUGGGAGGGGGAGAUGGAAUUAGUGGUGUAGGGGUAAAAUCCGUAGAUAUCACUAGGAAUACCCAAAGCGAAGGCGAUCUCCUGGAACAAUACUGACGCUAAGGCGUGAAAGCGUGGGGAGCAAACGGGAUUAGAUACCCCGGUAGUCCACGCCCUAAACGAUGUUCACUAGUCGUCGGAAUGCUAGUCAUUUCGGUGAUGCACUUAACAGAUUAAGUGAACCGCCUGGGGAGUACGGUCGCAAGAUUAAAACUCAAAUGAAUUGACGG
rnacentral:rRNA from 1 species